rnacentral:lncRNA from 1 species
GACUGGCGAGCACCUGGAAGGUCUUUCCUCCUCUGUGAUGACCCUGGCCUUCUCAUUCUUGUAGAUGUUCCUGAUAGGCAUCGCAGGUCCUGACAGCUGGGUGGCCAAUUUGAGUUCUUCAGCAGAGCUGUCUCCCCUCUUGGGGACCAAUGGCUUCCUGAGGAAGAAGAAGUUUACUAUGUAAUCGUGCGUGGUCUUGAACUCACCGUGUACCCCCAAGCUGGCUUCAAACUUGCAGUCAUCCUGCUUCAGCCUCUUGAGAGCUGGGGUUACAGGUGUCUGGUAUUUUGUUCCAGUGACUGGGAAAUGACCUCAGACACCAGGCUUCCAGAAGAAUGCUCCUGCAGGAGGGGGUAGCACCAGUGCACUUGAAUCAAUGUGCAUGGGAAACAUCCCCAUAGGUACAUUUUGGAUUAAAAAAAAAAAAAAAGACUACUAGGAUCUUAUCUAAUAAACUGGGUUCCAGUGUGAAGAGGCACCCACUGGCCAAAGGGCUUAAUUUGAGUAUCUAAUAAAGAUAAUAGCUGCAGUAGGUUGAAACAUAUAUAAA